AGUACCGUGAGGGAAAGGUGAAAAGAACCCCGAACAGGGGAGUGAAAUAGAACCUGAAACCAUACGCUUACAACCGGUCGGAGCAGCUUCGUGCUGUGACGGCGUGCCUAUUGAAUAAUGAGCCUACGAGUUACUAAUCACUGGCGAGGUUAAGUGCACGGAUGCACGGAGCCGAAGCGAAAGCGAGUCUGAACAGGGCGGCUAGUCAGUGGUUGUAGACGCGAAACCUUGCGAUCUACCCUUGAGCAGGUUGAAGGUUGGGUAAAACCAACUGGAGGACCGAACGAAUAAGCGUUGAAAAGCUUCUCGAUGACUUGAGGGUAGGGGUGAAAGGCUAAUCAAGCUGGGAAAUAGCUCGUACUCCCCGAAAUGCCUUUAGGGGCAGCGUUGUAAUUAAGAGUCUACUGGAGGUAGAGCUACUGAUUGGAUGCGGGGGCUUCACCGCCUACCAAAUCCUGACAAACUCCGAAUGCCAGUAGUAUGAUUUACAGCAGUGAGCGACCGGGUGCUAAUGUCCGGUUACGAGAGUGGAACAACACAGACCAGCAACUAAGGUCCCGAAGAGUAUACUAAGUUGAUCUAACGAUGUUUUGCUGCAGAGACAGCUAGGAUGUUAGCUUGGAAGCAGCUAUUCAUUCAAAGAGUGCGUAACAGCUCACUAGUCGAGCGGCAAAGCGUGGAUAAUAAACGGGCAUCAAGUAUACCACCGAAGUUCUGGGCACGAGAGUGCGGUAGGGGAGCAUUCCAUUGACGUCGAAGCCAUUCCGCGAGGAUAGGUGGAGUUUAUGGAAAAGCAAAUGUAGGCAUGAGUAACGAUAAUGCGGGAGAGUAACCCGCACACCGCAAGACCAAGGUUUCCUGAUCAACGCUAAUCGGAUCAGGGUUAGUCGGGUCCUAAGGGUAAGCCGAACGGUGAUCUCGAUGGACAAUCGGUUAAUAUUCCGAUACUAACAUAUACCUCGAUGGAGAGACGAAGGAACGUAAGUGACGCCGCCUGACGGAAUAGGUGGUUAAAGGGCGUAGGUAUAGGGACAGAUUAAGAGUUAGUCCUUGCUGAAACCCGACAGUACGGAGCGGCUACGGCCAAUCUGAUAGUUCACCCAAGUCGACUUCCGAGAAAAUCUUCUAAGUUAUAGUAUAUGUUACCCGUACCGUAAACCGACACAGGUGGUCGAGGAGAGUAUCCUAAGGUGCUCGAGUGAAUCACGGUUAAGGAACUAGGCAAAUUAACCCCGUAACUUCGGGAAAAGGGGUCCCUACGCGAGUAGGGCGCAGCGAAGAGGUCCAGGCGACUGUUUAUCAAAAACACAGGGCUCUGCAAAUUCGAAAGAAGACGUAUAGGGCCUGACACCUGCCCGGUGCUGGAAGGUUAAGAGGGGAUGUCAUCGCAAGAGAAGCAUUGAAUCGAAGCCCCAGUAAACGGCGGCCGUAACUAUAACGGUCCUAAGGUAGCGAAAUUCCUUGUCGGGUAAGUUCCGACCUGCACGAAUGGUGUAACGAUCUGGACACUGUCUCAAC
rnacentral:rRNA from 1 species